CAUUUUUGAGGCGCGAUGAGGAAACAUUACAGCAGCUUUGGAAUGAAGCUAAAGAGAGGAUUCGUUUAUAUGAUGCAUUGAACAACAUACCAGAGUAUUGAAACGUAAGAGAAAAGGAAGCCUUCCUCUAAUAUAUGGAUAUUGAGUGAACGUUAUGAAAUGGCAUUGGACUCCACUGGAAAGGAUCUUCCUGCUACCGUGGGAACAGUUUCCUCUCCCCCGUGAAGUCUUCCAACAGAAUUUAGAGCAA
rnacentral:lncRNA from 1 species